rnacentral:rRNA from 1 species
UACGGAGGGAGCGAGCGUUGUUCGGAAUUACUGGGCGUAAAGCGUGCGCAGGCGGCUUCUCAAGUCAGGGGUGAAAGCCCAGAGCUCAACUCUGGAAUUGCCUUUGAGACUGAGUGGCUUGAGUACGAGAGAGGUGAGUGGAAUUCCCAGUGUAGAGGUGAAAUUCGUAGAUAUUGGGAAGAACACCGGUGGCGAAGGCGGCUCACUGGCUCGUAACUGACGCUCAUGCACGACAGCGUGGGGAUCAAACAGG